AUACGUAGGGUGCAAGCGUUAAUCGGAAUUACUGGGCGUAAAGCGUGCGCAGGCGGUUUUGUAAGACAGUGGUGAAAUCCCCGGGCUCAACCUGGGAACUGCCAUUGUGACUGCAAGGCUGGAGUGCGGCAGAGGGGGAUGGAAUUCCGCGUGUAGCAGUGAAAUGCGGUGAUAUGCGGAGGAACACCGAUGGCGAAGGCGAUCCCCUGGGCCUGCACGGACGCUCAUGCACGAAAGCGUGGGGAGCAAACAGGAUUAGAUACCCUGGUAGUCCACGCCCUAAACGAUGUCAACUGGUUGUUGGGGAUUUAUUUUCUCAGUAACGAAGCUAACGCGUGAAGUUGACCGCCUGGGGAGUACGGCCGCAAGGUUAAAACUCAAAGGAAUUGACGGGG
rnacentral:rRNA from 1 species